GUUUUUAUAAUUUAAAUUAAAAUAGUAGUUUUGUAAACUACAUAUAGAAUAUAUAUCUUAAAAACA
rnacentral:tRNA from 1 species